GACGAACGCUGGCGGCGUGCUUAACACAUGCGAGUCGAGCGGUAAGGCUCCUUCGGGAGUACACGAGCGGCGAACGGGUGAGUAACACGUGAGUAAUCUGCACUUCACUUCGGGAUAACCACCGGAAACGGUGGCUAAUACCGAAUACGACCAGUCUUCGCAUGAGGUGCUGGUGGUAAGUCUUUUCGGUGCAGGAUGUGCUCGCGGCCUAUACGCUUGUUGGUGGGGUAAUGGCCUACCAAGGCUUCGACGGGUAGCCGGCCUGGGAGGGUGCGCGGACAGACUGGGACUGAGACACGGCCCAGACCCCUACGGGGGGCAGCAGUGGGAAAGAUGGAACAAUGAGCGAGAGCCGCAGCCAGCAACACCGCGGGAGGGGUGACGGCCUUCGGGUUGUAAACCGCUUACAGUACCGACGAAGCGCCCUGUCGGGUGGUAACGGAAGGAACAGAAGAAGGACCGGCCAACUACGU
rnacentral:rRNA from 1 species